AAAGAGUUGGGGAAAAACCUGGAGCUGUGGUCUGUGCGGAUAGCAGAAACACAGGCAAAAGCAGGAGACGAGAUCUAGAGGAAAAAUUUAGUCUCCUGGGGAAGAAGCUGAAAACAAGGGCUCCUAAGAUGGACAAGACCAGAGAGAGAGGUGGAAAUGCUUGGCCAAGAAGACAGAGCAGGAGAAAGUUUUCAAACCCAUCAGGAUCUGGAAUGUUUCUGGAAUAAAUGGAGCCGGUAUGGCCGGGAGGGACUUCACCUGACCUCUAACAGACCAAGCUGCCAGCACUUCAGAAGACUGUGAAGGAUCUUAGAAGCAGAGGAGCAGCAGCAGGUUGGCUGGUGUGGAAGAGUACGUGCUUCAGGAGGACACCAAGGAUGACCUGAGAAGUCCCUAUCCUCAGGAAAGAGAGAAAAGCUGGGUAAUUUCCUGUCAUUUCCUUUCUGUUUCGCCCUGUUCUUAUGGCGAGGGCUCAACCACGAAGCGUGUUUUCAACGCAAUGGAUUUCUGCGGAUUUUAUACUAAAUAUCCGGCGCCUGGCGGGAGGGUGUUGGAUGAUGAGAGUGUCACUCCAUUGAAUAGAGCAGCAGCCCCCGUGUCAGUGUUAAGUCUUCGGUGUGAAAAUUAUCAUGCAUAACCCACAAAAACGAAAAGCCAACCGGUAACCUCGGCAGAUCAACUACAAAGAGAAUACGUGGCAAAAGAAUGCUUGAAUAAGCAGGCAGAAGCUCAAAAAAUGCGGUGCGCUGAAGAAAAGCGGUAACUCCACAGCCCAAGCGGGUUAGCCGAGUGAAGAAGUCACCGCAUGGGAGGUACCGAGACAACUCGAGACGCAAAGCACCCCUUCAUCGCCUUUAAAAAGCUCCCGAAAUUCAGCAGCGCCCGCGCAGCACCUCUCGGCCCAGGCGAGCGCCGCGUCAAAGCCUCGUGUCAUUUUCCCCCUUGAAGAGUUUAAAGAGGAGUGAAUCACAGUUCUGUUUGAGGUGGGGAUAGCCCUCUGGAAAGAGCACAAAAUUAAAUUAGUAAUGGGACCGCAUUUCAUUAGCGCAUGCUAAGAGCCUCCAGUUGUUGUACAAGCUUCCCCGUUCACGUUAGGGAAGCAACCGAUUAUACACAGCGCUAUCUGGAGCUGUGAAAUUUUAAUUCCUGCCCCCAAAAGAUUAGAAUAUCAAUUACAAGCGCAAAAAGAGAAGCGUGAAGCUGCUCCCCCCCAAAUAACACAGUUAAAUUGCUUUCUCCUCCUUUAACUUAAAUCUCAUUGUGGAAAAAGCGCUGCUUUUUUUUUUUUUUUUUUCCUUCCUUAUUUUAUAUGUAUAUUAUGCAUUCUGUUGCCACCUUAGGAGUGUAAAUUCGCCAUCCCGAGCCACACGCACAGCA